CCCUUAGAUGUUCUGGGCCGCACGCGCGCUACACUGACGAUGGCAACGAGUUUUUCCUUCGCCGAAAGGUGUGGGUAAUCUUUUGAAACAUCGUCGUGCUGGGGAUAGAUCAUUGCAAUUUUUGAUCUUGAACGAGGAAUUCCUAGUAAGCGCGAGUCAUCAGCUCGCGUUGAUUACGUCCCUGCCCUUUGUACACACCGCCCGUCGCUACUACCGAUUGGAUGGCUUAGUGAGACCCUCGGACCGAUAGGCUGUCGCCGCGGCAACGUGGCGACCGGCCCGUCGGGAAGAAGGUCAAACUUGACUGUCUAGAGGAAGUAAAAGUCGUAACA
rnacentral:rRNA from 1 species